AUGCUUAAACAUUUUGUGAAGAUGGCAACGGCAUCAUCUCACACCUACGCCCCUCUCCUGCUCUUGUUCCUCCUGGCCUGUUCAUGCAGGGCAUCAUCCGGCCAUGCGGUCGACCCUACCUGCCCUCCAGCCAAGGCGUCAGCGGUGGCGGUGGAAAUCUCGGACUGCGGCGGACCUCGGUGCCAGCCACCGGCUCCGCACGUUCCGGUCCCGGUGUUCCCGUACGACAUCGACCCGAUGCAGUUCGCGCUGAACCUGGAGUACACCGAGGCCGAGUUCUUCCUCCACGCAGCGUUCGGUGUAGGGCUCGACCAGAUCGCGCCGAACCUGACGUUGGGAGGGCCGCCUCCGGUGGGCGCCAUGAAGGCCAACCUUGACGAGGUGACAUGGCGCAUCACCGCGGAGUUUGGCCUUCAAGAAGUCGGCCACAUCAGGUGUGUGCAAGAUCCAUUCAACGAAUUGCUCCCCUUCACCAUUUCGAAUUGCAACACACUUGGACUGGAUAGAAGCAAGUUGGUGCUGAAAAUCCAUGUGCUUCCGGUUUAUUUUCGUUGCAGGGCUAUCCAGAACACAGUUGGUGGGUUCCCUAGGCCGAAGAUAGACCUGAGCGCCAGCAACUUUGCAAGGGUGAUGGACCAAGCAUUUGGUUACCAUUUGGAUCCUCCUUUCGACCCCUAUAUGGACAGCCGCAACUUCCUGAUGGCGUGCUACGUGAUCCCCUACCUGGGCAUCAACGGCUACACCGGCACCAACCCCAUCAUCGACGGCUACGCGACUAAACACCUUCUUGCAGGGUUGCUAGGCGUGGAGGCGGGGCAGGACGCGGUCUUCCGCGCGCUGCUCUUCGAGCGGAGGAGCGAGACGGUGCCGCCCUACAAGGGGAUCACGGUGGCGGAGUUCACCGACCGCAUCUCCGCGGCGAGGAACCAGCUGGCGAAGUGCGGGGUGAAGGACGAGGGGCUCACCGUGCCGCCCGAGCUUGGCGCGGAGGGGAGGAUCUGCACCAACGUGCUCUCCGCCGACAGGGACUCGCUCUCCUACGCCCGCACGCCGGCGGAGCUGCUCCGCAUCCUGUACCUCUCCGGCGACGAGCACGUGCCCGGCGGCUUCUUCCCGGAGGGCGCGAACGGGAAGAUAGCACGGGAGUUUCUUCGCAAGCCGUUUGCAGCUGGGGGUAACAGGGUGCCAGCAAAUUAA
rnacentral:rRNA from 1 species